rnacentral:rRNA from 1 species
UACGUAGGGUCCGAGCGUUGUCCGGAAUUAUUGGGCGUAAAGAGCUCGUAGGCGGUUUGUCGCGUCUGCCGUGAAAGUCCGGGGCUCAACUCCGGAUCUGCGGUGGGUACGGGCAGACUAGAGUGAUGUAGGGGAGACUGGAAUUCCUGGUGUAGCGGUGAAAUGCGCAGAUAUCGGGAGGAACACCGAUGGCGAAGGCAGGUCUCUGGGCAUUAACUGACGCUGAGGAGCGAAAGCAUGGGGAGCGAACAGG